GAGGUUAUUAUAAUUUGUAGAUUUAUUUGGUGAACGUUGACAUACUUGUACUGAAAGGAGGAUGAGACUUAAAUUGUUGAUUGCCCGACGGAUGGGCUGUGUGCAUUGAUUGAUAAAUAUAUAUAAUAUUGUGAUAUUUGAGCAGGUUGAUAGUCCAAUUUUUAGGGGAGGUGCUGCCGAAAUUUUGAUAGAAAUUAGACUAAAUUUUAAUUAACAACAUAAUUAAUAAGUUUAUUUAGGUUAGUUCUAUAAUUUGGUACAUAAUAAAUAUAGUG
rnacentral:lncRNA from 1 species